UUUCGUAGGUGACCUGCGGAGGAUCAUUAUUG
rnacentral:rRNA from 1 species